CUUCAAAUCAGGAGAAUAUACAAGUAUGUCGUCAAGGUACACCAUGGCACAGACAUACAAUAGAUCCCUAAGGACAUCAUUUAUGAGAUCCUGAAACACAGCAGGAGCAUUACACAGUCCAAAAGGCAUGACCAGGUAUUCGUAAUGCCCACUACGCAUAUUGAACCCUAUCUUCCACUCAUCAUUCUCCUUUAUACGGAUAAGGUUAUAAGACCCCCUGAGGUCUAAUUUAGUAAAGUACUUAGAACCUUUAAC